AGUUUGAGGAUCCACUUGCUCUGCAAGCUGAGAAAAACCUCUUUGAAAUUCAGUGCAAAGCACCUUUUCACUCGACACCGACUCGAUCCUGACUGCACUACUUGAGUUGUUGCUAUGAGAGGACUAUUUUUUUUAAUUACUUAGAAGUUAAAAUCUGUUCUCCAAACAAAACUAAAAGCAAGCCAUUCAAUAGAAUUCUGACUAUUAAUCUGAUUUAUAUCGACUCUGCAAUGAAAAUUACAUGAGUUUUUUUAAAAUGGAGCUGAAAUUCAGAGGCUCAGGGAACAGAAUAUCUCACCAGGAGCUUCUCAAGUCAGGAACUGGGAGAUAGAGAUCCCACUAAACCCACUGCAGUCUGAUAAGGUGUGGGGUGCACAGAGUUGAAAAUAAGCAGCAGAGAAGGUUGAUAUUUGGUCCGUUAUGUAAAAUUUCCCAUGGAUAAAGACAAAAAAAGCAUAAGAACAGGACUUACUUUUUGCUGCAGGAUAAAAUUUCAUUGCUUUGUACAGUACAUUUUUCUGGGUUUUCUGUUUUCUCUAAAAUGGUCUUCCCUACUUUUCCUCUGAAGAUUUGAUUUUCUUGCACUGCUCCCUUAGCUUGGUCCAAGAUAGCAAUACCAUAGUCAUGAAGGGAUUGGAUUCUGUUCUUCGUCACCUGAAGUAAAGCACAUCUAAGCAUCAAAUCAUGGAUCCAUCCCAAACCUAAUAAAACCAACGAUGAGGGUCAGGUACAUUCACAAAGCCACCCAAUAAAAUUCAUGCCUCUUAAACUGAGAUAUAGGAAUUCAAACUGAAAAAAAUUAAAAUGAUGACAAUUGUUAUAAAGCAUUCGGUGAACCCCACUCUUGAGAAUUAACACCAAAACACCCAAGGAGGCGCACCUUGCUCUAUAACCUGCAAAAGGAAUGUGAAAAGUGGUGCAACCUGCCUUUCAGCAACUUCUAGUGGUUAAAUAAAACAAAUCCCUGACACUCACUUUAUAAUCAACAAGUAAUAAUUUAUCUAUCCAACAGGGAACAAAUUAACUGAACUAUUAACAAACCGAAUAAACCCGUUCUAACUACAAGCUAUUCCCAAUUAAACAAGAUUCUAAUGGUACGCUAUACCAAUAAUAUACAAGGCCAACUAAUAUAAAUCUAAACAAAAUCAGAGUUUAGUCUCUUGAAAUUACAGUCGGGUUAUGCAUUAUCCUGAGUGCUCUGUGCCAUCUCCAUCCACUGGGUAACGUCAAUUCAGACCAAAUUGGUAGGCAGAGCUAGCAAGGUGUUUGCAGCGCUGUCUAAAGGAGGUGUCAGGAGGCUAUGAAGAAGUAAAACAGGCUUAUUUUGAGUGCAUAUGAAUUGGCACAAGAAGCAUACAGACAACGAUUCAGAAAUGUAAGGAAGGAACCAAGUCAGACUUAGUACUGGGUUGGAAACAAUUAAACAGAGCAACUUCGAUAGAUGGGCGAGAGCAUUAAAGAUAGAAGAGACAUACAAGGCUCUUGGAGAGAUUAUUCUGCUGGAACAGUUUUAAAAACAAAUGAUAAGACCUCAUGUUGAGGAAUAGAACGUUAAAACAGCGAGAAAAGCUAGAGACGGUGGAUGAAUACGCAAUAGCGCACAAACCAAAAUCUAUCUUCCGAGAGCAAUUUCAUUCCGUGAGGGACAGAAAUUGGGGAAAAGGGAGAUCUUCGAUGAAAAGCAAAUAGCAGAUCACACUGGGAACUGUUUACCACAUGUGAGAAAAGAACCCCAAGAGGGUGAAAGGCCUCAGGUGUUUCCACUGUAGUUGAAGGAGACACACAAAGUCACAGUGCUGGUGGUCUAAGAGGGGCACUGGGCAAAAGAAUGUGGUGAAACAGGCUAAACCAGUGGGAUUAGUUGAGUUAGUGAAGGAAAUCCCAAGAGAAGUUGAGGAACUGCUGGAGAGUGCACAGCCUAGUCAUGGGCUGGAUAGUGAGAUGGCACCCGAUCUCAUCAAAGACUUCACCUCUGUGGGUAAAGUUUACUCAGGUAGGACAGGGGGUGUAGGUAAAGAAGCCAAAAUAUUGAGAGAGAUAUUGGAGCGAUAAUAAUAAGAGAUGAAAGUAUUUGCAGUCCUUCUGAAAUAUUGCCUGAGAGGAUGGUAACCUGAGGGAUCAAUGGAGAGAAGAUUAAUGUUCCCCUGUGUAAGAGAAAAGAGUAGAAAGUCCAUUCAAGGCUGGGGAAGUGAUGGAAAAAAAUGGCUAUUCCAGGAAUACAAUUUGUUCUUGGAAACAAUAUAGCUGGAUCACAGGUGGCAGUGAUUCCCAUUUGUAGUGGAAAAUCCAAAAGAAAAUCAGGGAUCUGAGGAGGUAAAAGAAAAAUACCCUGGAAAGAUCCCACAACCAUAAAUUAAAACAAGAAGGGAAAACAAAAGAGAAAGAUGAAGUUGAGGUCCAGUUAGCUGAUACUCUGAUGAAAUGGUAAAGGGGAUCAGGCAGAGGUGUUUAGUUCUGAAAGACUAAUGGAGUUACAACUAAAAGAUGAAACAAUAUAGCGUUUAUAUCAUAAAGCCUACACAGAAAAGGAAUCAGAAUGUGCUCCAGAACGCUAUUACCUUAAUGAUAAAAUUUUAAGAUGGAAACCUGGGCAAGUUAGAGAGGAUGAAAAACUGGCAGACAUUCACCAGAUUGCAUUGCCAGUGGAAUGCAGACAGGAAGUACAGCAUGUAGCACACAGACUACCUGGAGGUGCUCAUUUAGGAGUGAGGAAGACUCAGGCUAAGAUACAAAAGCAUUUUUAUUGGCUUGGAUUGAAUUUUUCUAUUCGUAUCAGAUGGUAGGAAAGUCACAGGCAGUAAUAAAACCAGCACCUUCAAUGUAUUUGAAGAAGGUUUUACACAGAUUGUAGUUAAUUGUGGAUGUCCCCUGCCUAAAACCAAAAGUGGGAACCAGUAUUUGGUAACCAUAACUGAUGUGUCUACCAGAUUUCCCAAGGCAAUUCCAUUACAGAAAGUCAAAGCAAAAAGGGUUAUUGAGGAGUUGCUUGCUCUGUUUACCCAUAAUGGACUACCCAGGGAGACUGAGUCAAACCAAGGGUCCAGUUUUACUGCCAAAUUAUUUAAGGAGGUCAAACACUCUACAUCAGGUGUGAAACAUCCUGAAUCCCAGGGAGCAUUGGAAUGGUGGCAUCAGACUUUAAAUACAAAGUUGUGGGCUUAUUGUCAGGAUUAGCUAAAUCAUUGGGAUAAAGGUACCCCAUUUAUAUUAUUUGCUAUUAGAGAUGCUACAAAUGAAUUGACUCAGUUUACUCCAUUGGAAUUGCUAUUCGGUCACAAAGCAAGAGGGCCUCUAAAAUUAAGGAAAAGCUGACAGGUCUGAAGUCAAAGAUCUCACAGUUGGAUUAUGUAUCUGAGCUAAGAGGAAGAUUAAACAGAGUAGGUGAAUUAGCUGGACAACAUUUGAAGAAGGCACAGCACUUAAUGAAGCAAGAAGCCAAUUGGAAAUGUAAAAUUCAUACUUUUGCCCGUGGGGAUAAGUAUUGGUGCUGCUACUGAAGGUAAGAGAUCCCUUCAAAGCAAUGUUUAGUGGUCCCUACCAGACUGAGAAGAGUGAAGUCAGGUGAAUUAUCUGGUAAAGAUGCCAUACAGGAAAAAAAAUUAUUGGGUAGGUCAUGUGAAAUGCUGAUACCUUACUAUGACAGGGAAAAGGACCCAGCGAAACAGGUAUUAGUUACUGCCAGAUGAUUUGAAUUUUGAUGUGCCUCAGAAUAAAUUGAUUAAUGAGGAAGUCCUUAAGAAUAGGAUAGGAUAUUGAGCUAUUGGACCCAGGAACAGAGAACUAAAUUAAAAGACUUGUUGCAGCACUACCAGGACAAAUAUAAAAAUAGAAUUGGGAGGACUAAUACUAUAGUACAUGAGGCUGAUGUAGGGAAUGCUGUUCCAAUAAAACAACACCCCUACAGGCAUAAUCCUGUCACAGGCAGCACAGCUUCAGAAGGAAGUGGAAGUGAUGCUGCAAGAAGACAUCAUAGAGAUGAGUCAAAACAGGUGAAAUUCGCGAAUUGUGUUGGUUCCCAAACCUGAUGGUACCCAACGAUUCUUGUGUAGAUUACUGGAAGGUCACUGCUGUGGCCAAAUUUGACUCAUACCCAACUCCACGGCUGGAGGACUAUAUGGAAAAAGUAGGACAAGCCACUUACAUCAGAGUUGGACUUAGUUCACAGCUACUGUCAAGUACCUUUGUCGGAGAGAGCCAAAGAAGCUUCUGCUUUUGUAACCAAAUGGGCUGUAUCAAUUUAAAAUAUUGCCCUUUGGAAUGAAAAACGCACCAGCCACUUUUCAAAUGCUUAUGAGAAAAGUUGUUGCAGGAUUGACUUACUGUGCCGUCUACAUUGAUGACUUACUGAUCUUUAGCCAUUUGUGGAAAGAUCACAUGGAGCAUCUGGGGGAGCUGUUGGAGAGACUACGGAUGGCAAAGUUGGUCAUAAACUUGGUAAAAACAGAGUUCACGAACGUGGAAGUGACAUUCUUAGGGCACAACAUUGGAUACGAAUGGCAACCCUGAUGAACGUGAAGGCCAUCAAGGAAUUUCCAAGACCUUCCUCGAAGAAGGAACUGCUAUGAUUUUUUAGGAAUGAGUGGGUUCUAUGGGAAAUUUGUACCACACCUUAGCAGCAUUGUGGCACUGCUGAUAGAUUUGUUAAAAAAUAACACGAAAUUCCGGUGGUCAGAAUAAUGCCCGGACACAUUUGGGAAUUUAAAAGCAGUGUUAGCGACCGCACCAGUUUUAGCGAUGGCAGAUUUCUUGAAACCAUUUGAAGUCACCAUCGACGCAAGCAAUGUAGUGGUUCAAGCUGUGAAGUUACGAGGGGAUUAUUGUGGAAUUGAAAGGCAAUCGGUUACUUUUUAAAGAAGCUCAAUAUCCACCAUAGAAAAUAUUCAACCACUGAAAAGGAGUUAUUGAAUUUGGUAACGGCUUUAGAGCAUUUUAACGUUUACGUUGCAAACUAUGUAUCAGAGAUGAUUGUGUGUAUCGAUCACAAUCCUUUGACAUUUCUGGAAAGAUUUAAGGACAACCACACCAGACAAUUUCAUUAGAGUCUCAUGUUACAAACAUUUGUAGACUGUACAUGUUGCAGGUCACAAAAAUAUUAUCGUGGAUGCGUUAUCGUGAGUUUAAAAGAAAAAUAUUUAUAAGAUAAUAGUGUUCAAUGUUUUAAAAAAACAGAAUUGGUAUAAAAUGUGUAACUUUAGAUGGAUGACUAUGGAUCCAAUAACGUAAUGGAGUUCAGGUUUUAAAAGGGAAAAAAAACAGUUUAUCAUAAUAUUUCGUUUUUUUUCUCUCAAGCAGGAGGUGUUGCAAAGAUGGGGAGUGGGUUUGCGGAUUGGGAGGCAGAAAUUUGAAUUGCUGGAUUUUGAUUGUGAACGCUGCUGCCACCAUUUUAAACUUUAAGCUAUGCUGUCCUUUAAGUUAUUAAUUUAAAUUGCUGCUACGGAGACAGAAUCUGGUGUGUUAUUUUCUCUCAGGGUGAAAGAGUUUGGCAGGGAUGACAUAUAUAAUCAUUACAAAGCAGUACUGGAGACCAUGCUCUUUGUUAAUCAAAAGACUGACUACUCUGGUAAAGAUGGACUUCAAUAUUUUUAUGUAACGACUGAGCAGUCGUAUCUGUUAUAUCAAUUGGCACAUUUCCACAAUUUGACCUCUGAACAAUGCUGUGCUUGCUGUCACUGCAACUGCAGGGGGCACACUUUCUCCUAGGCAAGCACAGUGCCAUGGCAUCACUGCCACAGAUGUGCUUUUUGCCUCAAAGACUAUCAUCCACUACAUUAAGCAAUUCUAAACAAUUUUAACAACCGCAGAACCAAUAAAACGUGCUACUUCGCGUAUGUUUCUCUAGUUUCAAACAUUUCUGUAAUUUUUACAGAGCCAAACAUGGCAGAGAGUGGUGAGCUGAGAUCACAGUGCAGCAAUGAGGAGGAUGCCAGCGGUACAACUGUAUUGGAACAUCUUGGCAAGGGGCAUGGCUAAUUUGAGAGCGCACCAGAAGGAACAGAAAUGCUACAAACUCUAAUUAUUUGAUCAAACCAAGAACACAGACAAAAAUUGUGCAGUGCAUAUCAACGAAGUUUGGAGAAGUGCAAUCCAUCCUGAUGGAUGCAGUUUUUUUUUGCAAAGUUAUGAACAUUUGAGCGGAAAUACAGCAGGUAAA